UACGUAGGGUGCGAGCGUUGUCCGGAAUUAUUGGGCGUAAAGGGCUCGUAGGCGGUUUGUCGCGUCGGGAGUGAAAACCAGGUGCUUAACACCUGGCUUGCUUUCGAUACGGGCAGACUAGAGGUAUUCAGGGGAGAACGGAAUUCCUGGUGUAGCGGUGAAAUGCGCAGAGUAUCAGGAGGAACACCGAUGGCGAAGGCAGGUCUCUGGGCCGAUACUGACGCUGAGGAGCGAAAGCGUGGGGAGCGAACAGG
rnacentral:rRNA from 1 species